UACGUAGGGUGCGAGCGUUGUCCGGAAUUAUUGGGCGUAAAGGGCUCGUAGGCGGUUUGUCGCGUCGGGAGUGAAAACCCAGGGCUUAACCCUGGGCUGGCUUCCGAUACGGGCAGACUAGAGGUAUGCAGGGGAGAACGGAAUUCCUGGUGUAGCGGUGAAAUGCGCAGAUAUCAGGAGGAACACCGGUGGCGAAGGCGGGUCUCUGGGCAGUAACUGACGCUGAGGAGCGAAAGCGUGGGUAGCGAACAGG
rnacentral:rRNA from 1 species